rnacentral:rRNA from 1 species
ACGCUCGACACCUACGGAGGCAGCAGUGGGGAAUAUUGCACAAUGGGGGAAACCCUGAUGCAGCGACGCCGCGUGAGUGAAGAAGUAUUUCGGUAUGUAAAGCUCUAUCAGCAGGGAAGAAAAUGACGGUACCUGACUAAGAAGCCCCGGCUAACUACGUGUCAGCAGCCGCGGUAAUCUGAGGCGGGCGUGGCGAAGGC